rnacentral:rRNA from 1 species
GAUGAACGCUGUCUACAGGCUUAACACAUGCAAGUCGAGGGGAAACGACGGGGAAGCUUGCUUCCCCGGGCGUCGACCGGCGCACGGGUGAGUAACGCGUAUCCAACCUGCCUCUGACUGAGGGAUAACCCGUCGAAAGUCGGCCUAAUACCUCAUGGCAUCGUCUGCGGGCAUCCAACGACGAUUAAAGAUUUCAUCGGUCAGGGAUGGGGAUGCGUCUGAUUAGCUUGUUGGCGGGGUAACGGCCCACCAAGGCUACGAUCAGUAGGGGUUCUGAGAGGCAGGUACCCCACAUUGGAACUGAGACACGGACCAAACUCCUACGGGAGGCAGCAGUGAGGAAUAUUGGGCAAUGGGCGGGAGCCUGAACCAGCCAAGUAGCGUGCAGGAUGACGGCCCUAUGGGUUGUAAACUGCUUUUAUGCGGGGAUAAAGUGAGGGACGUGUCCUUCAUUGCAGGUACCGCAUGAAUAAGGACCGGCUAAUUCCGUG